rfam:Salmo salar isolate Sally breed double haploid chromosome ssa16, whole genome shotgun sequence.
UGGCUCAGUUGGUAGAGCAUGGUGUGUGCAACGCCAGGAUUGUGGGUUCAAUUCCCAC